ensembl:rRNA 5S_rRNA 5S ribosomal RNA
GCUUACGGCCAUACCAACCUGGCUAUGCCCGAUCUCGUCUGAUCUCCGAAGCUAAGCAGGUUUGGGCUUGGUUAGUACUUGGAUGGGAGACCGCCUGGGAAUAUCAGGUGCUGUAAGCU